GUCUGCUGAGAAGAUGAAAAUCAGUCGUUUGCCUGGAGCCACCACUAGUUCUGAAGCAGAAAUGUGGACUCCAGGACCUAAGCAAGUAAAACACUUGGAAAAUACCUUGCUCAUCCCAGCAUCCAGCAUUAGAAGCAACCUCUCUUUGUGAGACUUUCACCCAGAAACACCAGCAAGUGUAAAAUUUGGUCCCAGGCAGGGUCUGUGUGGAGGAGGCUCGGGGUGCAGCGCUGCUAUUUAUACAGCACCGGGAAGCGCUGCGAGGUUGUGCUUGGCGGGGUGAAGAGCUUGUGAUCUCGGAGCACUUUGGGAUGUCAGACACUCCUGAGUUCUGCUUCGUGUGGCAGGAAAAGACUUCAGGAUGUUCCCUUCGUUUUGUGGUGUGGCAGAGCAGGGAAAAUUCACCCAAUGAUGGGCACUGCUAGCACUGCACUUGCCAGCCAAAUUUUCAAAAGAGCCCAGUUUGCUGACAUAAAUGGGGUUGCUGAUGUGCCGAAGGAGAAGGAAGCGCCGGAGAACAUAUUCCUCCCUAGGUCCAAGUCUCUCCCAUCUUAUCUUUCCCUUCCAUAUGUUUCCUCGGUAAUGAGAGGAAUUAUUUAUCAUUAA
rnacentral:lncRNA from 1 species